rnacentral:rRNA from 1 species
GACGAACGCUGGCGGCGUGCCUAAUACAUGAACGUAGGACGCAGUUGCGAACGGGUGAGUAACGCGUAGGUAACUGCCUCUUAGAGGGGGGUAACUAUUUGAAACGAUAGCUAAUACCGCAUACUAAUAGAUGGACCUGCGUUGUAUUAGCUAGUAGGUAGGGUAAUGGCCUACCUAGGCGACGAUACCUAGCCGACCUGAGAGGGUGAUCGGCAACACUGGGACUGAGACACGGCCCAGACUCCUACGGGAGGCAGCAGUAGGGAAUCUUCGGCAAUGGGGGGAACCCUGAACGAGCAACGCCGCGGGAGUGAAGAAGGUUUUCGGAGCGGAAAGCUCUGUUGUUAAGGAAGCGGUACUUAACCAGAAAGGGACGGCUAACUACGUGCCAGCAGCCGCGGUAAUAC